rnacentral:rRNA from 1 species
AGAGUUUGAUCCUGGCUCAGAGUGAACGCUGGCGGCGUGCUUAACACAUGCAAGUCGAACGAGAACGGGUUAUAGCUUGCUAUAAUUGUCAGCUAAGUGGCGCACGGGUGAGUAAUAUAUAGGUAACGUGCCCUAGAGAAGAGGAUAACAAUUGGAAACGGUUGCUAACACUCUAUAGGCCUUUAAGUCAUAAGACUGCAAGGGAAAUAUUUAUAGCUUUGGGAUUGGCCUGUACGGUAUCAGCUUGUUGGUGAGGUAAUGGCUCACCAAGGCAAUGACGCCUAACUGGUUUGAGAGGAUGAUCAGUCACACUGGAACUGAGACACGGUCCAGACUCCUACGGGAGGCAGCAGUGGGGAAUAUUGCACAAUGGACGAAAGUCUGAUGCAGCAACGCCGCGUGGAGGAUGACACAUUUCGGUGCGUAAACUCCUUUUAUAUGAGAAGAUAAUGACGGUAUCAUAUGAAUAAGCACCGGCUAACUCCGUGCCAGCAGCCGCGGUAAUACGGGGGGUGCAAGCGUUACUCGGAAUCACUGGGCGUAAAGAGCAUGUAGGCUGGUUUGUAAGUUGGAAGUGAAAUCCUAUGGCUUAACCAUAGAACUGCUUCCAAAACUGCAGACCUAGAGUAUGGGAGAGGUAGAUGGAAUUUCUGGUGUAGGGGUAAAAUCCGUAGAGAUCAGAAGGAAUACCGAUUGCGAAGGCGAUCUACUGGAACAUUACUGACGCUGAGAUGCGAAAGCGUGGGGAGCAAACAGGAUUAGAUACCCUGGUAGUCCACGCCGUAAACGAUGGACACUAGUUGUCGGGAAGCUUGACUUCUCGGUGACGUAGCUAACGUGUUAAGUGUCCCGCCUGGGGAGUACGUCCGCAAGGAUGAAACCCAAAGGAAUUGACGGGGGCCCGCACAAGCGGUGGAGCAUGUGCUUUAAUUCGAUGCAACGCGGAGAACCUUACCUGGUCUUGACAUACCAUUGACCGCUAUAGAGAUAUAGUUUUUUCUUCGGAAACAGUGGAUACAGGUGCUGCAUGGUUGUCGUCAGCUCGUGUCGUGAGAUGUUGGGUUAAGUCCCGCAACGAGCGCAACCCUUGUCCUUAGUUGCUAGCAGGUAAUGCUGAGAACUCUAAGGAGACUGCCCUCGCAAGUGGGAGGAAGGUGAGGAUGACGUCAAAUCAUCAUGGCCCUUACGACCAGGGCUAGACACGUGCUACAAUGGCCGGUACAAUGGGUUGCUACUUAGUGAUAAGAUGCUAAUCUCAAAAAACCGGUCUCAGUUCGGAUCGGAGUCUGCAAUUCGACUCCGUGAAGUUGGAAUCGCUAGUAAUCGUAGGUCAGCAUACUACGGUGAAUACGUUCCCGGGCCUUGUACACACCGCCCGUCAAGCCACGGAAGUUGGUUGUGCCCAAAAUCGUUUCGUUAAC